AUUGAACGCUGGCGGCAGGCCUAACACAUGCAGGUCGAGCGGAUGAAGGGAGCUUGCUCCUGGAUUCAGCGGCGGACGGGUGAGUAAUGCCUAGGAAUCUGCCUGGUAGUGGGGGAUAACGUCCGGAAACGGGCGCUAAUACCGCAUACGUCCUGAGGGAGAAAGUGGGGGAUCUUCGGACCUCACGCUAUCAGAUGAGCCUAGGUCGGAUUAGCUAGUUGGUGGGGUAAAGGCCUACCAAGGCGACGAUCCGUAACUGGUCUGAGAGGAUGAUCAGUCACACUGGAACUGAGACACGGUCCAGACUCCUACGGGAGGCAGCAGUGGGGAAUAUUGGACAAUGGGCGAAAGCCUGAUCCAGCCAUGCCGCGUGUGUGAAGAAGGUCUUCGGAUUGCAAAGCACUUUAAGUUGGGAGGAAGGGCAGUAAGUUAAUACCUUGCUGUUUUGACGUUACCAACAGAAUAAGCACCGGCUAACUUCGUG
rnacentral:rRNA from 1 species